rnacentral:rRNA from 1 species
CCUACGGGCGGCAGCAGUGAGGAAUAUUGGUCAAUGGACGAGAGUCUGAACCAGCCAAGUAGCGUGAAGGAUGACUGCCCUAUGGGUUGUAAACUUCUUUUAUAAAGGAAUAAAACGAGGCACGUGUGCCUUUUUGCAUGUACUUUAUGAAUAAGGAUCGGCUAACUCCGUGCCAGCCGCCGCGGUAAUACGGAGGAUCCGAGCGUUAUCCGGAUUUUUUGGGGUUAAAGGGAGCGUAGAUGGGGUGUUAAGUCAGUUGUGAAAGUUUGCGGCUCAACCGUAAAAUUGCAAUUGAUACUGGCAGUCUUGAGUACAGUUGAGGUAGGCGGAAUUCGUGGUGUAGCGGUGAAAUGCUUAGAUAUCACGAAGAACCCCGAUUGCGAAGGCAGCUUACUAAACUGUGACUGACAUUGAUGCUCGAAAGUGUGGGUAUCAAACAGGAUUAGAUACCCGGGUAGUC